GAUCGUCAGCGGCUAAGGGAAACCGAUAAGUGAGCCACCUGGGGAGUACGAUCGCAAGAUUGAAACUCGAAGGAAUUGACGGGGGCCCGCACAAGCGGUGGAACAUGUGGUCUAAUUCGAUGAUACGCGAGGAACCUUACCUGGGCUUAAAUGUACGAUGCAUAAGUGUGAAAGCACUUUUUCCUUCGGGACUUUGUACAAGGUGCUGCAUGGUCGUCGUCAGCUCGUGCCGUGAGGUGUCGGGUUAAGUCCCAUAACGAGCGCAACCCCUAUUGUUAGUUACCAGCGCGUAAAGGCGGGGACUCUAGCGAAACUGCCGGUGUAAACCGCGAGGAAGGUGGGGAUGACGUCAAAUCAGCACGGCCCUUAUGUCCAGGGCUACACACGUGUUACAAUGGCCGGUACAGCGGGCAGCGAGGCAGCGAUGCCGAGCGAAUCUCGAAAGCCGGUCCCAGUUCGGAUUGGAGUCUGCAACCCGACUCCAUGAAGGUGGAAUCGCUAGUAAUCGCGCAUCAGCCAUGGCGCGGUGAUACGUUCCCGGGCCUUGUACACACCGCCCGUCAAGCCAUGGAAGUCUGGGGUGCCUGAAGGCCGUAACCGCGAGGAGCGGUCUAGGGUAAAAC
rnacentral:rRNA from 1 species